rnacentral:rRNA from 1 species
AGAGUUUGAUCCUGGCUCAGAACGAACGCUGGCGGCGUGCCUAACACAUGCAAGUCGAGCGAGAAAGGGGUAGCAAUACCCCGAGUAAAGCGGCGCACGGGUGAGUAACACGUAGGUAACCUACCUCUAAGGCCGGGAUAACCCGUCGAAAGAUGGACUAAUACCAGAUAAGACCACAGUCUCUACGGUGAUCGGGGUCAAAGGUGGCCUCUGCAUGCAAGCUAUCACUUAGAGAUGGGCCUGCGCACCAUUAGCUAGUUGGUAGGGUAACGGCCUACCAAGGCAAAGAUGGUUAGCUGGUCUGAGAGGAUGACCAGCCACACUGGAACUGAGACACGGUCCAGACUCCUACGGGAGGCAGCAGUGGGGAAUCUUGCGCAAUGGGCGAAAGCCUGACGCAGCAACGCCGUGUGGGUGAUGAAGGCCUUCGGGUCGUAAAGCCCUGUCGGAAGGAACGAAUGUCUCUGGGGUGAACAAUCCCAGGGAGUGACGGUACCUCAACGAAGCCG